AGUAACCACAUACUGUAAUACAAGCUUGAAUAUUAUCAAUUUUCUUAUUCUCUUACGGUAAAUCAACUCAACUCAACAAUGAUUUAAUUCCAAAGUUCAAACUGUGCGGAGUCUCCUAGUGGGGAAAAAAAAUUAUUUCUCCAUUCAAAAGUAUUUCAAGUAUCUUGCCUGCAAAUCCCAAUAUUCUUUCGUUUGUUUCACCAUCUCAGCCCGUUCGGCAACCAUCCUCUCCUUCCAAUACUCUUUGCACAUUGUUUUCAAUAGCAGAUCUAGUUCCAACAUGUGCACCGAAUUAGCAUAUACUCCAGCCAGAUGCUGAGGGUAGAGGACUAGGUUCCUGGUGAUCAAAUCUGGCCUUGAGCAACUCUCUGCAGACAGCACACUUUGCAUCUGGAGUUGCAGCUUUAAGGCCUUGAAAUAUCAAUACAGAAGCGGCUGAGCAAGCACAAGACUUGCAAAAAAGAUGCCCACAGCUCAAGGCAUAUGGAUUAAAAACCGUCUCCUGAGAGAUAAUAACCAAAAUAAAAUAAGAACAUCAAAUGUUAUAUUUUCUUUUUCUUGGAAUGUAGUAGAUGUGAUAUUUUACCAAGCAAAUGGCACAAGUUAGACUAUAUUCUAGCUUUGCAGAGUUUGGAAGCCUCAGCAUUAUGACAGGUUCUGUAGCAUUGAGAUGACAGGAAAAAUGACCACAAAACUCACUAAAUUCUCCACUAUCUGAUCCAUUAAAAUUCAAAUAAAAGGCUCCCAACUCUAUUAGCCAAGGUGAAUGCAAAAGCUCUAGGUGCUCGGCCCGCAUCUUAGAUUUGAAAUUCUUACCAUUGACAGAGCUAUGCACCUAUAUUAAUGAACAGAAAUUCUCAAAAUUGUUUAAAACCAACAAUGACAGCAAUCUAAAAUAUUAGAAAUGGAUUAAAUCAACACAUACUUUAUCGUAUUUAUUUAGGAUUUUGUCAAUAGCGGUUGCACUCAUUGUAAUAUAUUCAAUCAACAUCCAACCUUCUUCUACCAUGGCUUGCUGAUUAUUUUUAAAGCACUGACGUAGUCUCAGUGCAUAUCUUUGCAUUCCUCUAGCAACAUGAAGAUGGAGGAGAUGUCUAACUCUGGAACUAAAGCAUCCAGCUAUAUCUGAAGCUUCUUUCAUCAGUUCAGUAAAGAACAUUUGAUCGCACACUACAAAUUUCACAGAGCUUAAUAACUUUGAUCACACAAGCACAAGCUUCAAACAAUUAGUAAGAUCAAUAUCAAUUAUCACCAAUAUCACAAACUACAGUAUUAGAAUGUAACACUUCUUUGAAAAUACUUUUUUGGUCAGUAGUUUGAUUAUGAGUAUGGAUUGUGCCUAAUUGGCUGAGAAAAAGGCAAUAACUUGGCAAAUUUUGUAUAGCAAUCAUGAUUCCAAUUACCAAAACCUAUUGGUCCCACUAACUCUCUGCACAAAAGUUCAGAAAUUGUAAAUCCACACUAAACUAGUCCUUUCUGGUUGUCCACAACAUGCACCAUAAAAGCCCCAAAACUCAAGGAGUCCAUUAUAGCAAACAUAGUUCUUUAACAGCUAUUACAGAUAAAUCCAAAGAUGCCAAUGAUUAGAAGUGGGGAACUUUUAACUUACAUGGGCAAGAUUGACAUUGACAUAAUUGAGACAAAGUGGAAUUGUCCUUAUCUCCUUGAUCUUGUUCACUUUGACAAGAAUUAUGCAAUGCUUGACAAGUCCUACAGCUCUUUAGAACUUUCUUAAGUCUCUUGUAUUCAACAUGGGAGCAUUUAUCCAAAAGCCUCUCCUUAUCUCCAUGCAGAUACUCCAUGAAAGUCUCCUCAAACUUCAUCCUCUCAAAAUCUGAUCAAAUUC
rnacentral:misc_RNA from 1 species